AAAAUGCGAUAAUUAGCGUGAAUUGCAGACGCUUUGAACGCCAAAUUUUCGAACGCACAUUGCGCCAUAGGAGUCUUACCCUAUGGCACAUCUGGUUGAGGGUCGUGAUCAAAAACAGCUAGGAUUGGGCUGUAUUAGAGCUAAUUGGUGGAUCAUCAUGCCGGCACACCAUGCCUAGUUGUCGGCGGUGUUCUACCAUAAUGCUUUUAGAGGGCAUCCUUAAGGGUGCUUCCUUACCACACGGACGGGCAGCCAAUGCAGACUGCAUUUGUGGGUCGGCCGUCAGGUAUUUGAUUCAUAGCCUUUCUUUUCGAAAGGGGGGCUUUAUACCUGUACGGUUUAAACCGAACCGUCGAUUGGUGUUAGGUCACCGUACGUGCU
rnacentral:misc_RNA from 1 species